CAGAGGACAGCAAGGGUGAAGGGCUGCAGCCCAGAGAUGCUUCUGGACCAAACUGCGAAGUGGGAAGGAGGAAGCCGCUCCUGAGUUCCUCCUGACUCUCAGAAUCCCUCUCAACCCCUCCUGCAGUCUAGCGGGAUGCCAAGGGGCCAAGGAGACGUGAAGGCCCAGACUUCACUUCUAAAACAUCAGUUCAAAGGGGGCGCUCCGCAGAAACAGAGAGGCAGUGGAACUUCCCUCAGCAAAGCCGAGAGGUCCCGAGGAGAGAUUUGUGUCUUUGAUUGGACGCCUGAAGCUGCUUAAAGCCUGCGGCACCGGAAAAAAAAAAAAAAAAAAAGUGUGGUCAUUACUAUCAGCCACGGCAAAGAAAUCCUCUUCCAGUUUGGAUUUUAAACUGACUUUUUCCAAAUAACAACAUCCUGUUUUUAAAUUAAUUGCAUGCUGCUGUUUACAUUGUAAAGGACCACAUGUGAAUUCAGAACAAUUUUGGGUUUAUUAAAAAGAAAGGAAAAGAUGCAGCCCCCAAAUGUGUGAGGCAGAAUCAGACUAUGAGUAUGAAAAAUUUUUAGGAUGGUAACAUGUCUUAGUAUUUGUCUCUUACUGGAGAAUGCUGCAACCUGAGAGCUCACAGGUAUGCUAAGAGCACUCUCGGGUGUGAAUGCCCAUGUACUCCCUCUCCCAUCACUCAGGGCCUCUCUGACCUCCUGAAAAGAAA
rnacentral:lncRNA from 1 species